UACGUAGGGUGCAAGCGUUAAUCGGAAUUACUGGGCGUAAAGCGUGCGCAGGCGGUUUUGUAAGACUGUCGUGAAAUCCCCGGGCUUAACCUGGGAAUGGCAGUGGAUACUGGAAAGCUAGAGUGCGGUAGAGGGUAGUGGAAUUCCCGGUGUAGCAGUGAAAUGCGUAGAGAUCGGGAGGAACACCAGUGGCGAAGGCGGCUACCUGGACCAGCACUGACACUGAGGCACGAAAGCGUGGGGAGCAAACAGG
rnacentral:rRNA from 1 species